CCCUUAGAUGUUCUGGGCCGCACGCGCGCUACACUGACGAAUGCAACGAGCUUAUAACCUUGGCCGAAAGGUCUGGGUAAUCUCCAAAUUUCGUCGUGAUGGGGAUAGAUUAUUGCAAUUAUUAAUCUUCAACGAGGAAUGCCUAGUAAGCGCAAGUCAUCAGCUUGCGUUGAUUACGUCCCUGCCCUUUGUACACACCGCCCGUCGCUCCCACCGAUUGAAUGGUCCGGUGAAAUCUCGGGACGGCGGCUUGGUCGCUUGCGUCCGACUGCUGAAACUUGAUUAAACCAUAUCAUUUAGAGGAAGGUGAAGUCGUAACA
rnacentral:rRNA from 1 species